CAUAAACAAACCCUUGAGAUAAGAUGAGGAAUGUGGUAGGAAUAACGUCAUUGAAGAAAUCAUGUGGAUUUUGUUUCUGGAUGCUGCACUUGACAUAAAGUCAGAUCCAAGUUGCUCACAGGACUAUACCUCUAGUCUCCUCACUCAGCCAACCUUCCACCUGCCCCCAGCCUCUAACCUAAAGAGAGAACAUAAGCAGAGGAGAAGGGCAGGAGGAGAGAGAGAGAGAAUCUCAAGGAGGCUCAGCACUGAGUGUGGACUUCACCCCACCAAGCUUGACCCCUGGGAUUGUGACCUGAGCCCAAAUCAAGAGUUGGGCACUCAACCGACUGAGCCACAAGCACCCCACUAUAAUUUCUUGUUGUUUCUAUUCCUCCUCUGAUUCCUUACUUUUGUUGGAUUAAUCCAAAUGUUAGGUGUUGUGUUUCCUUUUUUUUUCUUUCAGCAGUUUGCAAUUUAUAUAUCUUAUUUCUAUUCUUCUGUUAUUUCCCUUGAAUUUUUCUUCAGCAGAAGAAAGAAGACAGUUUUAUUUCCAAUGAUAUGUGAUUGUCAACUGAUAACUACUUUAUCUUGCCCUUGUGUUGUCGUUGUUAUUGUCACUUUAGUUUUAACUAAGUUUAAGCUACCUGAUAUUUUCUCCUUGUGAAAAACCAACACGAUAGGUUUGAUCAAAUUCCUAUUUAACUACACCUCCAACCCUAGGCCUCUGCCAAAAGGUAAUGACUGUACAGCUGAAACAUAUUCUACCAACUUUUCCCAUGCAUUUCAUUAUAUAUAUAUUUGUGUAUAUACUUCUGUAUGUGUGUACGUCUAUUUGCAAAAUAAAAAAAAAUGGCAUUUUCUGUUA